UUACCUACCCUUGACAUGUACGGAACCCUGCCGAGAGGUGGGGGUGCCCGAAAGGGAGCCGUAACACAGGUGCUGCAUGGCUGUCGUCAGCUCGUGUCGUGAGAUGUUGGGUUAAGUCCCGCAACGAGCGCAACCCUUGUCCCCAGUUGCUACGCAAGAGCACUCCGGGGAGACUGCCGGUGACAAACCGGAGGAAGGUGGGGAUGACGUCAAGUCCUCAUGGCCCUUAUGGGUAGGGCUUCACACGUCAUACAAUGGUCGGAACAGAGGGUUGCGAAGCCGCGAGGUGGAGCCAAUCCCAGAAAACCGAUCGUAGUCCGGAUCGCAGUCUGCAACUCGACUGCGUGAAGCUGGAAUCGCUAGUAAUCGCGGAUCAGCAUG
rnacentral:rRNA from 1 species